UUUACAUUUUUUUUUGUAAAAAAAAAAGGAAAAUACAAGCAAAAUUAAGGAGUUGUAACCCUGUAUCUACCAACUAGGGUAAGAUAAAUGGCAUCACAGUCUCACUUCAAUUUUCUUUUCUGUUUUCACUAUAGCAGAAAGGUGUGAUCAGCCAUAAUGGCCAAAACUAAGGGUAGGAGUUGAAUGGAUUUUGUAUCCCAUCUCUCUCUCUCUCUCUCUCUCUCUCUCUCUCUCUCCCUCUCUCUCUCUCUCUCUCUCUCUAUAUAUAUAUAUUAAUUGAUUAGUGUUAUUAUAAUUUAAGUGAGAGACAGAGUCAAAAGAAAGCAGACACAAAUGCUAGCUUCAAGAAAUGACCACGACCCCCCGGACCCCAUGCUCUUUCUCUCUCCCUCCCAAAGCCAACUUUUCCUUUUCUUUUAGGUAAAAACAAAUGAUUAUCUUCAUCAUCAUGUUCAUUGUCUAUGAUUUUUAGCACAAACCCACAAAUUCUUGUCAAAAGGAUUUGGUUUUUUCACCCUCUGGAUCCGCACAACAAAAGAAGAUGAAAAAAGAAUGGAGUGGUUUACUGAGGAAGAAGAUAGCUAUUGCUUGCUAGGAAGCUUUUCUUUUUGAGGGGAAUGUUGUCUGGUUCAAGGUCAUGCGAUGCUAUACAUAUGAUUUGUUUAUCUUUUAGCUAGUUCUCCUCGGACCAGGCUUCAUUCCUCUCAAUUACUGCUUCCAUAUAAAUCCAUAUGCAGCAGGAAUAUUAUACACUUCUUCAGCUGCUCAUCAAUCGGAUCAACUUCAAGAUUUAGAGUUAUACAGAGGUGGCAAAAAGAUCUCAGGACUUUUCAAUGCAUUGAAAGUUAAAGAAAGGAUAGAACAGAGAUAGAUCUCAGGACAUUCAACUUGCAUGGCAAAGGAAAGUUGGUCUCAUUGAAAUUCAUGCCAUGCAAAAAUCCUUCCACAUGCUCUUCCUUCUUCCACUGCAAUGAAAUGAAUGAAUAUUAAUUUGGAUGAUUUCACUAGAAAGAUUGAUGACGAAUUUGACGAUGAUGAUGGUGAUAUUAUGUGUGUGUGUUGAUAUCAAAUCUUUCACUGUGUCUCUGUGGGGUUUCACAGCUGCUACUUUUACAAAGAACGUCAGCAUACGCAGUAGGUAAUCCAGAGAAUCUCAUUGUCAUUUUCUUGUAACUGGGAAAAUCUCCAUUUAACGAAAAAGCUCAAUGGCAAACUUCAGUGCCCAUCUUUUAUCUGCUUAAAGCAAUUUCCAAAACUGUCCACUGAUCAUCUCGAAAGCUGAUUUUCUCUACACAUUGCCCAAGGGAAUCAUUUACUUUCCUGGGGUCUGAUGUUUGCAUUUCUUUUUGCAAUUUCUGUGUAAGUUUUCAUCAUCUGUAUGCUUUGAUUUUUCCCCCCUUUCUUAGAAGAAUAAGAUGAUGAUGAUGGUGGUAAUAUCAAUGAAGUGAAGAAGGAUAAGUUUUUAAGUGGAUUGUUGUGAAGAAUUGCCGAAUGCUAGGAAUGCAAAUUAUCUAUUCAUUCUAA